CGGGACGGGGUGGAGUAAUGUCUGGGAAACUGCCUGAUGGAGGGGGAUAACUACUGGAAACGGUAGCUAAUACCGCAUAACGUCGCAAGACCAAAGAGGGGACCUUCGGGCCUCUUGCCAUCGGAUGUGCCCAGAUGGGAUUAGCUAGUAGGUGGGGUAACGGCUCACCUAGGCGACGAUCCCUAGCUGGUCUGAGAGGAUGGCCAGCCACACUGGAACUGAGACACGGUCCAG
rnacentral:rRNA from 1 species